UUGACAUCCAGAGAACUUAGCAGAGAUGCUUUGGUGCCUUCGGGAACUCUGAGACAGGUGCUGCAUGGCUGUCGUCAGCUCGUGUUGUGAAAUGUUGGGUUAAGUCCGCAACGAGCGCAACCCUUAUCCUUUGUUGCCAGCGAUUCGGUCGGGAACUCAAAGGAGACUGCCGGUGAUAAACCGGAGGAAGGUGGGGAUGACGUCAAGUCAUCAUGGCCCUUACGAGUAGGGCUACACACGUGCUACAAUGGCGCAUACAAAGAGAAGCGACCUCGCGAGAGCAAGCGGACCUCACAAAGUGCGUCGUAGUCCGGAUCGGAGUCUGCAACUCGACUCCGUGAAGUCGGAAUCGCUAGUAAUCGUGGAUCAGAAUGCCACGGUGAAUACGUUCCCGGGCCUUGUACACACCGCCCGUCACACCAUGGGAGUGGGUUGCAAAAGAAGUAGGUAGCUUAACCUCCGGGAGGGCGCUUACCACUUUGUGAUUCAUGACUGGGGUGAAGUCGUAACAAGGUAAGCGUACGUGU
rnacentral:rRNA from 1 species